rnacentral:sRNA from 1 species
AUUUCCCUAUGCUGCUCGUGCUUGGAAUGCGCGCCUUUCCUCCGAUAAGUUCGAUUACGGGAGCCGGCAUUGCACGCGCUGCCGACGCCAGGCCUUCGCUGGAAGACGGAGGCACGCGGCAAGGCUCCCACUUGCCUGCAAAGUGGUCGAAAGGCCUCAUUUCCACACGGCAGCACGGGGACCUU